rnacentral:lncRNA from 1 species
GUGCAGCCCACCCUUUUCCUUUUGCAGUGCUGACCUUUCUUGUGCACAAGCUAAAAUAAACAUUCUCUUUUUCUUUCUUUUUUUUUUUUUUUUUGAGAUGGAGUCUUGUUUUGUCGCCCAGGCUGGAGUGCAAUGGCACAAUCUCAGCUCACUGCAACUUCUGCCUUCCAGGUUCAAGCAAUUCUCCUGCCUCAGCCUCCCAAGUAGCUGGGAUUACAGGUGUGCACCACCACACCCAGCUGUUUUUUUUCGUAUUUUUAGUAGAAAUGGGUUUUCACCAUGUUGCCCAGGCUGGUCUUGAACUCCUGGGCUCAAGCAAUCCACCUGCCUCAGCCUCCCAAAGUGCUGGGAUUACAGGGGUGAGCCACCACACCCAGCAAUCUCACUUGAUUUCUAUCCUGGAAGACUACAAGAACCAAGGAUGAUUGUAACAUCUCCUGGUACCCCAGAUGGGACCCUCAUUUUAGGUCCCCACAGGAGUUAGCAAGACUUCCUGGAGGACAGAGGCAACUGACCAGGUGGUAACAAAGGUGGCCACUCUGGACCAUUGCUUUGGUGUUGGUGCUUUGGAGAGUCAAGUCUGGACCCUAGUCCUGAAGAGUUCCAUCACCAUCACCACUGUGGAGCCUUGGGUCACCCUCAAUAUGGCAGGUAGGAAACUGAAUUCCUUAUGGAUACCAGAGCCCCCUACUCUGUCCUGACCCAUCCUGAUGGAUCUCUGUUCAGCGCCAGUUGUACAGUGACGGGAACAGAUGGACAACCCAAGACUACAAUAGUUUCAUGUCAAGUUAAUCAUUGUGCAAGACUUCUAGGUUACUUAUUAGCUG